GGGAAACGUGCUUAACCUAUUUUCAAUUUAUUUGUCAGAUUAGCAUAGCAUUGUACUACGACGCAGUUUACGAAUAUUCCGAACCGAGAAUAUUACGAACAGAAACCUCAACGGAGUAAAGUGAAUAAUACCGUAUACCAUAGAGAAGACAGUAAACGAAGUAAAUAUAUGCAGAGAAGUCGCGGACGGCUUGCGUAUAUAUUUCGAUUUCGCAUAUUACCUCAUCUCGUGUUAUAUAGGAUGGAGAGCAGAUUCGGCGAUAGGCGGCAUUCAAGUGAGGUGAAGGACAAGCAAGAUCUACCAAAUAAAAAUAAGGUUGAAUUAAACAUGGAGAAAAAGCCAAGUUUAGGAUUGCUAACAUUAAGCAUUACGGAUAGUUUUUUGAUAGCGACCAAUAUUUGCUCAACUAAAUUAACCCAGAAUGUAGACUUAUAUAUAAACCGUCGUUUAUAAAAAAGAGGCCGCAAGAGGACGAGCGACAAAUGAUAUUGACUGGUUUAGUCGUAAUGGCGAAGCUCGCCGAAGAGCCGCUGGAAACGGAAGACAUUCUAACGAUUUGUUGGGAGCAGAGUCAACACAAGUACACAGAGAGAAGAUUACUAGCUGUUGAAUGUUGCUCCUACAUACCAAUAUCAGCUGCUGUUAGAAACUCGUUGAUGCUGUCAAUGCGCUUCCGGAGUAGUACUACCGGAACUGAGGCAUCUCAAAACGUUGGUAAAUCAAUGCCUACCUCAGCAAGAAGAUGCAGUGCGUUUCUUGCUCAGAGAAGCGGAGUGCAGGCAGUAUUUACUGAAUGAAGCCAAUAGAUAGGACACUCGACGAGCUCCGGGUUUUCCCUAUCGAUGACGACGGUGAAUGUCUGCCAAGGAUAUGCGCCAGAAGAUGAACAAGAUAACUUCAACAGAAAAUUGAAUCGCCCAGCAUGUCGAGUAUUUUCCGCAAGAAGUAAACUUCCCCUUUGUGUCUUAUAGCAAGAAAUUCUGUGUGAGAAAAUCGAGUAUCACGUCGGCAAGAGAUUCGCGAGUGCAAGCACAAAAAAUUGUUGUUAGGCAUAAAUGUAUAAUGUUGUUUCAACAAAUGUUAACUUAUUUUUUUAUCGCGCUAGCUCUAUGAGUGACGUGUAAAUUAUUUUGUUUAAAUAUUAACACGGUCUGAGGAGUUUAGAGAUGAGAAAAGACGAAUGUUUUUUCACGUUUUGUAAAAUUCGGAUGUCCAUUGUGUCUGCACUCUCGCAGCGUUUGGAAUUUUCUCACUUUCUCAUGAUCCUCUUUAGGUAAAAGAAAAGAAAAAGAAUAAAUUCAAAACGCCACGAUUAACAGUAAUUAAUGUUUAAUUUCGAAGUCUGUCACUUUACAUAGUAAUAAACAAACGUCAUAGAUCAUAUAUCAUAUCAAAUUGUAUAUCGCAUAUCCGCAUAUACAUAUAUAUAUAAUACACAAGUGUUUUCCUCGUAGAAUAAUUUACAAAAUCAGACUGUCUAGAAAUACAGUUGCGUCCUGUUCCUGCUCGGUUCUGUUUUCCGUUAUUUUUUUCUUUCUUUUUUUAUAUAAUCACAGCUUAUCCUGAUAC